rnacentral:rRNA from 1 species
GACGAACGCUGGCGGCGUGCCUAAUACAUGCCAGUAGAACGCUGAAGGAGGAGCUUGCUUCUCUGGAUGAGUUGCGAACGGGUGAGUAACGCGUAGGUAACCUGCCUGGUAGCGGGGGAUAACUAUUGGAAACGAUAGCUAAUACCGCAUAAUAGUAGAUGUUGCAUGACAUUUGCUUAAAAGGUGCAAUUGCAUCACUACCAGAUGGACCUGCGUUGUAUUAGCUAGUUGGUGGGGUAACGGCUCACCAAGGCGACGAUACAUAGCCGACCUGAGAGGGUGAUCGGCCACACUGGGACUGAGACACGGCCCAGACUCCUACGGGAGGCAGCAGUAGGGAAUCUUCGGCAAUGGACGGAAGUCUGACUGAGCAACGCCGCGUGAGUGAAGAAGGUUUUCGGAUCGUAAAGCUCUGUUGUAAGAGAAGAACGAGGGUGAGAGUGGAAAGUUCACACUGUGACGGUAUCUUACCAGAAAGGGACGGCUAACUACGUG